UAGAGAUUUAGGUUAAUUAAACUGAAAGCCUUCAAAGCUUUUAAUGAGAAUGGAAAUUUUUCAGUCUUUAA
rnacentral:tRNA from 1 species